GAUGAACGCUGGCGGCGUGCCUAAUACAUGCAAGUCGAGCGAACGGACGAGAAGCUUGCUUCUCUGAUGUUAGCGGCGGACGGGUGAGUAACACGUGGAUAACCUACCUAUAAGACUGGGAUAACUUCGGGAAACCGUAGCUAAUACCGGAUAAUAUUUUGAACCGCAUGGUUCAAAAGUGAAAGACGGUCUUGCUGUCACUUAUAGCUGGAUCCGCGCUGCAUUAGCUAGUUGGUAAGGUAACGGCCUACCAAGGCAACGAUGCAUAGCCGACGUGAGAGGGUGAUCGGCCACACUAGAACUGAGACACGGUCCAGACUACUACGAGAGGCAGCAGUAGGGAAUCUUACGCAAUGGGCGAGAGCAUGACGGAGCAACGCCGCGUGAGUGGUGAAGGUCUUCGGAUCGUAAAACUCUGUUAUUAGGGAAGAACAUAUGUGUAAGUAACUGUGCACAUCUUGACGGUACCUAAUCAGAAAGCCACGGCUAACUACGUG
rnacentral:rRNA from 1 species